CUGUAAUCGCUGGCAGAGGUGCUUCAACAAAGUACAGAGUAAAGGGUCUGAAUACUGAUGUAAAUGUGAUAUUAACGUUUUUUAUAUUUAAUACAUUUCCUAAAAUUACAAAAAAACUGUUUUUGUUUAGUCAUUACGGGGUAGAUUGAGGUGAUUGAUGUGGAAAAAACUGUUUUUGUUUAGUCAUUACGGGGUAGAUUGAGGUGAUUGAUGUGGGAAAAAACUGUUUUUGUUUAGUCAUUACGGGGUAGAUUGAGGUGAUUGAUGUGGAAAAAACUGUUUUUGGUUAGUCAUUACGGGGUAGAUUGAGGUGAUUGAUGUGGAAAAAACUGUUUUUGGUUAGUCAUUACGGGGUAGAUUGAGGUGAUUGAUGUGGAAAAAACUGUUUUUGUUUAGUCAUUACGGGGUAGAUUGAGGUGAUUGAUGUGGAAAAAACUGUUUUUGGUUAGUCAUUACGGGGUAGAUUGAGGUGAUUGAUGUGGAAAAAACGAUUUCAUCAAUUUUAGAAUGGACUGUAUGUUCCACCCUACGCCCCAUACCAGAUGGG